GCCGGCACCGGACCCAGGAUCUUUGCUCUGGUGUCUUUGUUCAGCAUGCUUCGCCCACAUGUCUGUCGGGCUUAGCCCCCCGCCCCACCUCUGCUCAGGUGUCACCUGCUUGGUGGGGUGGCCUUUGUUCACCUGGGGCCCCGGGCACCCUGUCCCCUCCUGCGGUCUUUCUCCUUGGCCGCUGUGCCGUCUCACCUGCUCCCUUUGCCGCUUUGUUUCUCACCACUGGGAUUACACGCUGUGUGGAGGGAAGAGGAGAAAUGACUCUUCAACGAACGAACGAACCUUGCCCUGUUAUGUUGGCAAUUCUGUCCAGAGAAGUAAGAAUUGAAGCAGCAGGAAAUGUGACGCUGAGAAUGACGGCGACAAAUGUUCAUGUCCCGGAAACACGACCUGACUGCAGGAGGACGCAGUGGCCGAGGUGCCCUACGAGACCCUGAACAAGCGCUUCCGCGCCGCGCAGAAGAACAUCGACCGAGAGACGAGCCACGUCACCAUGGUGGUGGCCGAGCUGGAGAAGACCCUGAGCAGCUGUCCGGCCGUGGACUCCGUGGUCAGCCUCCUGGACGGUGUGGUGGAGAAGCUCAGUGUCCUCAAGAGGAAGGCAGUGGAGUCCAUCCAGGCGGAGGACGAGAGCGCCAAGCUGUGCAAGCGCAGGAUCGAGCACCUCAAGGAGCACAGCAGCGACCAGCCCGCGGCGGCCGGGCUGUGGAAGCGGAAGCGCAUGGACCGCAUGAUGGUGGAGCACCUGCUGCGCUGCGGCUACUACAACACCGCCGUGAAGCUGGCGCGCCAGAGCGGCAUCGAGGACCUGGUGAACAUCGAGAUGUUCCUGACGGCCAAGGAGGUGGAGGAGUCCUUGGAGAGGCGAGAGACCGCCACCUGCCUGGCUUGGUGCCACGACAACAAGUCGCGGCUGCGCAAGAUGAAGGGCCGCCAAAGCGAGCACGAUGCGAAGACGGGACGGAAAAGUAGAGUGGCCAGUGGCUCCCCUAAAGAGAGUGAGGAUCUUGGUAUGGAAACCAUAAAAGGAAAGCCAGAAUUGAGCUGUCUGGAGUUCAGCCUGAGGAUCCAGGAGUUCAUUGAGCUCAUCCGGCAGAACAAGAGGCUGGACGCCGUCAGACACGCAAGAAAGCACUUCAGCCAGGCCGAAGGGAGCCAGCUGGAUGAGGUGCGCCAGGCCAUGGGCAUGCUGGCCUUCCCCCCCGACACGCACAUCUCCCCCUACAAGGUAAGGGCCCGGGCGCCACAGCCCCGCCCGGCCUCCACGACGGAGACCUUGUCCAUCUCGCGCCUGUGGCUGCUCAGGACAACCCGAAGCGCUUCAGCCUGUCCCUGUCCUGCCUUCUCCCUGUGCCAGGAUCGCGGCCUACCUGCCCAAGUCCCUGCCCCACGGGUGUCUCUUCCGACCUCCAGGGAGGCACAGCCCCCAGAGCUGUGGUUCUUUUGCCCCCUUGGGAAACCUGGGGGCAGCCCUCAUGACCUGCAACCACCGUGCCUCCAAAGACACAGCACCCUCGCAGCCUGGUCUGGCAGCCCUCCUUCCGCCCUGCCCUUGAGACUGGCCAUGCUCCCAGGGUGCCUGCUGAGUCCGGAGCAGCCCCCAGCACCAGGCUCCUCUCUCAGACAGCCUUUCUUGGUCCUUGGCGGUGCGCACAGAGUUUUCCAGAUCCCGAGGUCGUGCUUGCUUUUGAUGAACAGCUGUGUCUUGGUCACUUCUCUCGCCUCGAUGUGUGCUCUAAACUCUCUGAGACGCCAAGCGGGCGCCUGCAGCUUUUGCUCAGACACGCCCCCCCCCACCGUGCCCCCCCCCCCGUGGAGCACAGCCACCGCCUCCCUCCCUCCCUCGGUUUCCUGUGGAGACUGGGGGCCCGCCCAGGGUCCCUCCCGCCCAGGGUCCGCUCCCUCCCGCACCGCCUCCAGACUCCUGCAGCGGCUGCUCAUCACUCAGCUCCAAAGCCCCUUUGACCUGUUUCCAUGUUUGCUGCCACACACAUCCACUUCUGUCGACAGGUUUCUAGGUCUGUUCUGGUGCCUGUGACAUGGUACUGUAGGCAGAAGCGUCGUGGUGACAGUUCUGGGGGCUGCAAGUCCAAGCAGGUGCCAGGUGGUCUGGCACGGCCCUUGUCUGAGUCACAGCCUCCCCCCCAGGUCCCCACAGGACGAAGUGUCGGGAGCCCUCUGGGUCCUGACCCAUCCAGCGGCUCCGCGCUCAGGCCCUCCUCCCCUCCCUGAGUAACUGGUGGGCCGUGUACAGUCGGACCACAGCAGCCAUCGCGCUUGGACGUUUCGGUCCUGGUCCCUGCAGGAGAGACUCAAACCCUUCCUGUGCCCUGACCUGGCCCUGUUCUCGGGCCUUGAGGCUGGUCUCUGUCCAGGGCCCCAAGUGUUUCCCCUGCAGCCCCACCCCAAAGGGUGCUUUGUGGGAGCCCCUGGGCCGACCUGGUCCCCACCCCCCGGAGCGCUUGGCGCUGGCCUCCCGUGCUGCCUGGGCUCAUGCUUUCUGCCGGGUUCAGGAGUCCAGGGCUCUUCAGGCACUGCGUGUGGACUCGGAGUUUGGCCUUGGGUUUUUCUUCCUGCCCUGGAGACUUGUCGGAGCGCAGGAAAGCCCAGCCUGCCCUUGGGGGUGAGCCGUUCAGCUCAGCAGGGGGGUAAAGGGCCCGGUGAGUGCCACCAUCGCCGCUCACGGGCGGGAGGGGCCGAGCCUCAGGGCAGGCGUCCUGCCAGCUCAGGGGCCAGGGCAGGCGGAGCUCCCCGGCUGUGCGGCCGCGCUGCCUCCCGAGACCGCGGUCAGGCCCAUCCAGCCACACGAAAGAGAGCUAGGUGACAGGGGAGCACCUCGAAGGGGUCAGUGUCCCAGGAAGCGAGGGCGGCCCUGGGCUCUCGCUGGCCAUGGGAAGUCCAGGCUGCCCUCCAGCCGCAGGCGUGGUCGCAGGGAAGAAGCCUUUGCUGUUGUCACUCCUCAGCCCUGUCUCCCCAGGACCUCCUGGACCCGGCCCGGUGGCGGAUGCUGAUCCAGCAGUUCCGCUACGACAACUACCGGCUGCAUCAGCUGGGAAACAACUCCGUGUUCACCCUCACCCUGCAGGCCGGCCUCUCGGCCAUAAAGACACCGCAGUGCUACAAGGAGGACGGCAGCUCGCGGAGCCCCGACUGUCCGGUGUGCAGCCGCUCGCUCAACAAGCUGGCGCAGCCGCUGCCCAUGGCGCACUGCGCCAACUCGCGCCUGGUCUGCAAGAUCUCGGGAGACGUCAUGAACGAGAACAACCCGCCCAUGAUGCUGCCCAACGGCUACGUCUACGGCUACAACUCCCUGCUCUCUAUCCGGCAGGAUGAUAAGGUCGUCUGCCCGAGAACCAAAGAAGUCUUCCACUUCUCCCAGGCCGAGAAAGUGUACAUCAUGUAGGCAGGGCGGCCGCGCCUGGGCGGCCCGCGGGCCCCUGCCUGCCUGCCUGUGUUUCUGUUUCUUGCGACCAAAGAUCCGUGAGCAACGACAGACACUCUUGGGAAGAGAGGAAGUAAGAUUUAACAAACUUGUACUUGAAUUUGUAACAAGUCAGCUGUUUGACGCUUCUGAAGCGCUUUCACCUUUCAGAGAAACGUUUCCUUAAAGACUGACCACGGGGGGGUGGGGGGGAAGCUAAGACAUUUCACAACCGGAACCGAGUCCUUCCCCGUGUUCUCACAGUUCCCUCCCUUUUGCUAAUAACGAACCCUGGAGAAGGCGCUGGUCCUCGGUGAUGGCCUGGGAGCAGUGGUGGCCAUGGCUGACUGGCCUGCGGGGACUCUGGCGCAAGGGACCCUCUCACUCCUCUGUAGAGCUGCUGCCAAAACGCCAGGAUGGCCGCCUUCCCCGCCACCACGCCUCUGGGCCGUGUUGGGGUGUGUGGGUUCAGGGUCACGUCACUCGUGCCGCCUUAUCUCCUGCCCGAGAAUGUACCACGUGGAAACCCACUGGACCAGCGUCUGCAAAGGCCUUGCCGAGGUUCCAUAACUUUAGCUCUAAAUCUCAUCACGGAAACCAGUAGUUCAGUUGAAGUAACCACCAAUGACUCUGCCAAUCAGACGAGCCAUUGUAGUUUACACAAAGCUGUAUCGUAGAGGUUGGUAUUCAGCGCUUAUUUUUGCAUGUUGAUGUUGAUUAGCUAAUAAACUGUAAAUGUAAGACAUGCGAAUAAAA